rnacentral:lncRNA from 1 species
GCAGCUUAUAUGUGCUGCAUGAACCGGCAUCUGGAGUUGGUCUAUUUUCUUGGUCAGAAGCUCCACCUAAGCUACCAAGGCUGCUGUUGAAUCUAGCUGGUUUAUCACUCCCUGUUUGACUAGCCGAGUCCUAGAGGAUUGCUACUGGUAGUUGUUCAUGGCUAUCUCCUCUAUCAGAUUUUGCGCCUACUCCGGCGUCUUACCGUUCA